UUUUGACGAUGGGACACCAAAUAACACAACACCGGGUGCCUUCAGUAUCAUGGCAUGCUCACAAACGAAUAUAGAAUAUCAAAUUUGAGGCAGUGAAUAAUCAUUUUUGGGGCAAAGUUAAAUGAUUUUUCUCUAUGAUAUAUUGAUUUUUGAGUAGCAUAAAAAAAAUAACCUAGUGUUUUAAUUUUCAUGAUAUAAGUAUGAAAUCUCAUCACCGAAGAUAUUUCAUACCCCGAAGUUUUUUCAUACAACACCGGGCCACGCAUGCGCAGUAAGGAGACAACGUUUUUUUCUGAGAGGAGGAAAAAAAGUAGCGAUUAUCGCUAGUUUGGUUACAAAAGUAACGAAGAUACUGAUAUAUAUUUAAAUAAGUAGUGGAUGGCCGAUAACCCGAUUUUGUUAUCAGCGAUAAAGUAUCGCGAUAACUUAUCGCGAUAACGCCCAGCUAUGGUAAUGAUGUAUACUGAACUAUUGAUUCAAAAGUGGCUAUUACUUAUGGAUGUGCACAGUCACUUUGGCAGCUUAGUUUUAGUAUAGGCAGAAAUCACUGCUACAGUGGAGUGUGGUGGGAGGUGCAGGCAGGUGGAAGAGCUGGAUGUGGCAGGUGGUAGGGGCUGGGGGCAGGUGCAAGAGGAGAGGGAUGUGGCAGGUGGUAGGGGCUGGGGGCAGGUGCAAGAGGAGAGGGAUGUGGCAGGUGGUAGGGGCUGGGGGCAGGUGCAAGAGGAGAGGGAUGUGGCAGGUGGUAGGGGCUGGGGGCAGGUGCAAGAGGAGAGGGAUGUGGCAGGUGGUAGGGGCUGGGGGCAGGUGCAAGAGGAGAGGGAUGUGGCAGGUGGUAGGGGCUGGGGGCAGGUGCAAGAGGAGAGGGAUGUGGCAGGUGGUAGGGGCUGGGGGCAGGUGCAAGAGGAGAGGGAUGUGGCAGGUAGAAGGGAUCAGAAAUGGAUAAGGGGAAUAAUAAAUGGAGGGUUAGGGAAGAUGCACAGUGUUGAAAAAGGCUGAGGCAUUCA